ACAUAGCAGCGCCAUUACAUACAUAUGAACUCACAGAAAUGGAGGAAGAGUCCAUAAAGCCUUCCUGGGUCUGCAUCAGAUGGGGUCCAAGAGCUCAAAGGAGAUCUGAAAGCUAUCUCCACCUGAGAGUCACUUAAGUUUUUCAGGAGGCGGGUCCUGGAAAAGAGUCCAAUGUAUAAGUAACUGGCCCUGAUGGAAAAAGUCACUGUUUACUUCAACCACAAGUGGUCAGCCCUAAACACAUUCAACUGAGCAACAAGGAGUGGACUCAACAGGCUCCCUCUCCUCCCACCUCCUUCUCCUGUGCAUGAUAGUAAUUGCAGAGAAGGUCAUGAAUCGAAGAGGGAGUGGCAGAGACAUGGAAGAAUUGGAGAAGUGAGAGGAGAGGAAAGGAGAGGAGAGGAGAGGAGAGGAGAGGAGAGGUUAUAAAUAUAGCACUCAUGUAUGAAAGCCUCAAAAGCAAAAGAGAUGAAAAAGAAAGGUGCAUUUUUAACAACAACAACAACAAAAAGCCCCUUCAAAUGUGAAGUAAUGGGAUUCUCUCUCUCUGCUGUGGAGUUUGCGGCUCUCUGCUGGUUCAUAGCCCUGUGACCAGGUUUUAGAAACGGGGGCAACCUAAGGACGUUCUGGAAGCAGUUUUGAGGCGCGGCUGUCCUGAGACGGAACCUUCCUGGUUGAUUCCAUCCUCGCCAGAGACUUGCUGCCACCGCACAGCCCAGCAACAGGAAACCACCACGACAUCUGCUGAUGUCUCUAGCAAGCAGCCCAUUUGUCUGCGUACUCAAAACAAUGUUGAUGAUGUGA
rnacentral:lncRNA from 1 species